rnacentral:tRNA from 1 species
GGUUGUGUGGCUCAGUGGUAGAGUGCUUGCCUAUCUUGUGUGAGGCACUUGGGUUCAAUCCUCAGCACACCA